rnacentral:rRNA from 1 species
UUUAGAUUUUGAUCCUGGCUCAGGACGAACGCGGGCGGCGUGCCUAAUACAUGCAAGUCGAGCGGACAGAUGGGAGCUUGCUCCCUGAUGUUAGCGGCGGACGGGUGAGUAACACGUGGGUAACCUGCCUGUAAGACUGGGAUAACUCCGGGAAACCGGGGCUAAUACCGGAUGGUUGUUUGAACCGCAUGGUUCAAACAUAAAAGGUGGCUUCGGCUACCACUUACAGAUGGACCCGCGGCGCAUUAGCUAGUUGGUGAGGUAACGGCUCACCAAGGCAACGAUGCGUAGCCGACCUGAGAGGGUGAUCGGCCACACUGGGACUGAGACACGGCCCAGACUCCUACGGGAGGCAGCAGUAGGGAAUCUUCCGCAAUGGACGAAAGUCUGACGGAGCAACGCCGCGUGAGUGAUGAAGGUUUUCGGAUCGUAAAGCUCUGUUGUUAGGGAAGAACAAGUACCGUUCGAAUAGGGCGGUACCUUGACGGUACCUAACCAGAAAGCCACGGCUAACUACGUGCCAGCAGCCGCGGUAAUACGUAGGUGGCAAGCGUUGUCCGGAAUUAUUGGGCGUAAAGGGCUCGCAGGCGGUUUCUUAAGUCUGAUGUGAAAGCCCCCGGCUCAACCGGGGAGGGUCAUUGGAAACUGGGGAACUUGAGUGCAGAAGAGGAGAGUGGAAUUCCACGUGUAGCGGUGAAAUGCGUAGAGAUGUGGAGGAACACCAGUGGCGAAGGCGACUCUCUGGUCUGUAACUGACGCUGAGGAGCGAAAGCGUGGGGAGCGAACAGGAUUAGAUACCCUGGUAGUCCACGCCGUAAACGAUGAGUGCUAAGUGUUAGGGGGUUUCCGCCCCUUAGUGCUGCAGCUAACGCAUUAAGCACUCCCGCCUGGGAGACCCCGGGU